AACGAACGCUGGCGGCAUGCCUAACACAUGCAAGUCGAACGAGACCUUCGGGUCUAGUGGCGCACGGGUGCGUAACGCGUGGGAACCUGCCCUUAGGUUCGGAAUAACUCCCCGAAAGGGGUGCUAAUACCGGAUAAUGUCUUCGGACCAAAGAUUUAUCGCCCUUGGAUGGUCCCGCGUUGGAUUAGCUAGUGGGUAGGGUAAAAGCCUACCAAGGCGACGAUCCAUAGCUGGUCUGAGAGGAUGAUCAGCCACACUGGGACUGAGACACGGCCCAGACUCCUACGGGAGGCAGCAGUGGGUAAUAUUGGAAAAUGGGCGAAAGCCUGAUGCAGCACUGCCGCGUGAGUGCUGAAGGCAUUAGGGUUGUAAAGCUCUUUUACCCGGGAUGAUAAUGACAGUACCGGGAGAAUAAGCUCCGGCUAACUACGUG
rnacentral:rRNA from 1 species